rnacentral:tRNA from 3 species
GGGCCUAUAGUAAAAUGGUAUUACGCGCCCAUGGCAUGGGCGAAGCGCCGGUCCGAUUCCGGCUAGGUCCACAA